rnacentral:rRNA from 1 species
UACGGGAGGCAGCAGUGGGGAAUAUUGCACAAUGGGCGAAAGCCUGAUGCAGCUAUGCCGCGUGUAUGAAGAAGGCCUUAGGGUUGUAAAGUACUUUCAUCGGGGAGGAAAAACAAAACUAAUAAUUUUAUUUCUUGACGUUACCCGAAAAAGAAGCACCGGCUAACUCCGUGCCAGCAGCCGCGGUAAUACGGAGGGUGCUAGCGUUAAUCAGAAUUACUGGGCGUAAAGAGCACGUAGGUGGUUUUUUUAAGUCAGAUGUGAAUCCCUGGGCUUAACCUGGAACUGCAUUUUGAAACUGAAAUACUAGAGUAUCGUAGAGGGAGGUAGAAUUCUAGGUGUAGCGGUGAAAUGCGUAGAUAUCUGGAGGAAUACCUGUGGCGAAAGCGGCCUCCUAAACGAAUACUGACACUGAGGUGCGAAAGCGUGGGGAGCGAAACAGGGAUUAGAUACC